ensembl:lncRNA
ACUAUCCCAUUUUGGAAACGUUACAUGUACAAUACUAUCCCAUUUUGGAAACGUUACAUGGACAAUACUAUCCCAUUUUGGAAAUGUUACAUGUACAAUACUAUCCCAUUUUGGAAACGUUACAUGGACAAUACUAUCCCAUUUUGGAAACGUUACAUGUACAAUACUAUCCCAUUUUGGAAAUGUUACAUGGACAAUACUAUCCCAUUUUGGAAACGUUACAUGUCCGCGUUAAUUAUCUUAAUUAUCUUUUCAGAACUUCUCAGAAAUUAAUCAAGUCCAUGGAAUGGAUAUAGACAAAAAGAGAAUUCAAUGACUAGCAGAGGUAGAGAGGCGAGGCAGGGGACUGGAGACCACAGCAGCGAUCCUGCUCUUGCCCUACCUCUUCAAUGAGGACCCGAGUGGCCUUUAUGUCCGUGACAUGAUUUCACCGCUCUUCACUCCUUUACUGCACAUCGGCGGAAAUCCAUUUCACCAUGAGAGUGAAAUCCCGCUGGCCUUUGAUGGGGAGAACAUCCACGCCCUCGAGGACGUCUCCAUGGGACUUGGGGCUCUGCUUGGGCUGUAUUUUUUAAUUUUCCCUUAAAUUUCCCAAAAUGUCAGAGAAACACUUAUGUUGUUAAGUUACUGUGUUCUGGGGAUAGGAGAAGUUGGGUGAAGUUACCAGGGCCGGUCAUAAAGAUGGCAAACUUCCUAACAUAACUAAGUGAAUAUGAUAUACACACUAAAGCUGAAAAAUCUGUAUUUAGCAUCAAGUCUACAAUGUUGUUAGUUUACCUAUGAUUCAUUUUUAAUGUAUGUUGUUUUUAUUGUACAUCAUUAUUUUAGUUUUUUUUAAAUGUCAUGAAAAGCACUAUAUGAGGUAAAUGUAUUAUUUAUUAUGGUCUGACAUGUCUGCAGAAAUGUUGCAAUUUUGUAAUGUGUUUUGUUUGGUAAAUUGUUUUGUAAAUAUUAAUUCACAUUUGUGGUGCCACUAAAUAAACAAUUAUUUAA